UUAUUAUUAUCAUUGUUGUUCUUUUCUCUUCUCUCCAGAUAGUCAAUCUGCUUUAUCUCCACUUGCUAAAACUUUUGUAGUCAGUAAAAGUCCAGCAUCAGAGUUUCAAGAGUUAAAUAAUGUGAUAGGUUCAUCAGUGAAUAGGAUUACUUGUAAGAGGAAGUUGGACUGUACAUUAGUAUGUACCAGUCCUGGUAUUAAUAGUCCUGCUAAGAGGAGUAACAUUGAGAGAGGUAGAGGGGUUCAUAAUCUUUUAUCAUCAAAAUCAAUACUACAUCACAAACAACAACAACUUAAUAAUAAUAAUA